UGACUUAAUACUUUAAUAUAAAAGAUUUGAUUUGCAUUCAAAAAAUAAGUCUAACUGACUUUUAGGUCAA
rnacentral:tRNA from 1 species